rnacentral:rRNA from 1 species
GAUGAACGCUAGCUACAGGCUUAACACAUGCAAGUCGCGGGGUCUGUUUCGGCAGACGACCGGCGCGCGGGUGAGUAACGCGUAUCCAACCUGCCCCUCUCUUUGGCAUAGCCUUUCAAAAGAGAGAUUAAUUCCGAAUAACAUAGUUUAGUUGCAUGAUUCGACUAUGAAAGCUCCGGCGGAGAGGGAUGGGGAUGCGUUCCAUUAGGUAGUAGGCGGGGUAACGGCCCACCUAGCCGGCGAUGGAUAGGGGUUCUGAGAGGAAGGUCCCCCACAUUGGAACUGAGACGCGGUCCAA